rnacentral:rRNA from 1 species
AUAAUGGGUCAGCGACUUAUAUUCUGUAGCAAGGUUAACCGAAUAGGGGAGCCGAAGGGAAACCGAGUCUUAACUGGGCGUUAAGUUGCAGGGUAUAGACCCGAAACCCGGUGAUCUAGCCAUGGGCAGGUUGAAGGUUGGGUAACACUAACUGGAGGACCGAACCGACUAAUGUUGAAAAAUUAGCGGAUGACUUGUGGCUGGGGGUGAAAGGCCAAUCAAACCGGGAGAUAGCUGGUUCUCCCCGAAAGCUAUUUAGGUAGCGCCUCGUGAAUUCAUCUCCGGGGGUAGAGCACUGUUUCGGCAAGGGGGUCAUCCCGACUUACCAACCCGAUGCAAACUGCGAAUACCGGAGAAUGUUAUCACGGGAGACACACGGCGGGUGCUAACGUCCGUCGUGAAGAGGGAAACAACCCAGACCGCCAGCUAAGGUCCCAAAGUCAUGGUUAAGUGGGAAACGAUGUGGGAAGGCCCAGACAGCCAGGAUGUUGGCUUAGAAGCAGCCAUCAUUUAAAGAAAGCGUAAUAGCUCACUGGUCGAGUCGGCCUGCGCGGAAGAUGUAACGGGGCUAAACCAUGCACCGAAGCUGCGGCAGCGACGCUGAUGCGUUGUUGGGUAGGGGAGCGUUCUGUAAGCCUGUGAAGGUGUGCUGUGAGGCAUGCUGGAGGUAUCAGAAGUGCGAAUGCUGACAUAAGUAACGAUAAAGCGGGUGAAAAGCCCGCUCGCCGGAAGACCAAGGGUUCCUGUCCAACGUUAAUCGGGGCAGGGUGAGUCGACCCCUAAGGCGAGGCCGAAAGGCGUAGUCGAUGGGAAACAGGUUAAUAUUCCUGUACUUGGUGUUACUGCGAAGGGGGGACGGAGAAGGCUAUGUUGGCCGGGCGACGGUUGUCCCGGUUUAAGCGUGUAGGCUGGUUUUCCAGGCAAAUCCGGAAAAUCAAGGCUGAGGCGUGAUGACGAGGCACUACGGUGCUGAAGCAACAAAUGCCCUGCUUCCAGGAAAAGCCUCUAAGCAUCAGGUAACAUCAAAUCGUACCCCAAACCGACACAGGUGGUCAGGUAGAGAAUACCAAGGCGCUUGAGAGAACUCGGGUGAAGGAACUAGGCAAAAUGGUGCCGUAACUUCGGGAGAAGGCACGCUGAUAUGUAGGUGAAGUCCCUCGCGGAUGGAGCUGAAAUCAGUCGAAGAUACCAGCUGGCUGCAACUGUUUAUUAAAAACACAGCACUGUGCAAACACGAAAGUGGACGUAUACGGUGUGACGCCUGCCCGGUGCCGGAAGGUUAAUUGAUGGGGUCAGCGCAAGCGAAGCUCUUGAUCGAAGCCCCGGUAAACGGCGGCCGUAACUAUAACGGUCCUAAGGUAGCGAAAUUCCUUGUCGGGUAAGUUCCGACCUGCACGAAUGGCGUAAUGAUGGCCAGGCUGUCUCCACCCGAGACUCAGUGAAAUUGAACUCGCUGUGAAGAUGCAGUGUACCCGCGGCAAGACGGAAAGACCCCGUGAACCUUUACUAUAGCUUGACACUGAACAUUGAGCCUUGAUGUGUAGGAUAGGUGGGAGGCUUUGAAGUGUGGACGCCAGUCUGCAUGGAGCCGGCCUUGAAAUACCACCCUUUAAUGUUUGAUGUUCUAACGUUGACCCGUUAUCCGGGUUGCGGACAGUGUCUGGUGGGUAGUUUGACUGGGGCGGUCUCCUCCUAAAGAGUAACGGAGGAGCACGAAGGUUGGCUAAUCCUGGUCGGACAUCAGGAGGUUAGUGCAAUGGCAUAAGCCAGCUUGACUGCGAGCGUGACGGCGCGAGCAGGUGCGAAAGCAGGUCAUAGUGAUCCGGUGGUUCUG